ACAUCUUUAACUUCUCUUCUGAGUUUUCGUUGGCCUGGUUCACUAUUUUCAUAGCGUGCACCAUCAAUUAGUGAGGGUCCAAUCAACCAUGCAAGCCAACUUUUUAACCCCUUCUUGGGGUUACUUCUCGAGUUUGGCAAAUGUGAAGCUUGUGGUGCCACGGAACCUGAUCAAUGUGAAGGUCAUUUUGGGUAUAUUGAACUGCCAGUACCAAUAUACCAUCCUGCCCAUAUCACAGAGCUCAAACAAAUGUUGAGCCUUUUGUGCUUGAACUGUCUAAAGAUACAGAAGACUAAGAGACAGAGCACAAGCCAUGGUCUUGCGAAGCGGCUUUUAGGUGCCUGUUGUGAGG